rnacentral:rRNA from 1 species
CCUACGGGUGGCAGCAGUGGGGAAUAUUGGACAAUGGGGGGAACCCUGAUCCAGCCAUGCCGCGUGUGUGAAGAAGGCCCUCGGGUUGUAAAGCACUUUCAGUGAGGAAGAACGCCUGGUGGUUAAUACCCAUCAGGAAAGACAUCACUCACAGAAGAAGCACCGGCUAACUCCGUGCCAGCAGCCGCGGUAAUACGGAGGGUGCGAGCGUUAAUCGGAAUUACUGGGCGUAAAGCGCGCGUAGGUGGCUUGAUAAGCCGGUUGUGAAAGCCCCGGGCUCAACCUGGGAACGGCAUCCGGAACUGUCAAGCUAGAGUGCAGGAGAGGAAGGUAGAAUUCCCGGUGUAGCGGUGAAAGGCGUAGAGAUCGGGAGGAAUACCAGUGGCGAAGGCGGCCUUCUGGACUGACACUGACACUGAGGUGCGAAAGCGUGGGUAGCAAACAGGAUUAGAUACCCUUGUAGUC